UACGGAGGGAGCAAGCGUUGUUCGGAAUCAUUGGGCGUAAAGAGCGCGCAGGCGGUUGGGUAAGUCAGACGUGGAAGCCCUGGGCUCAACCCAGGAAUUGCGUUUGAAACUGCCCGGCUCGAGUUCGGGAGAGGGUGGCGGAAUUCCCAGUGUAGAGGUGAAAUUCGUAGAUAUUGGGAGGAACACCUGUGGCGAAGGCGGCUACCUGGACCGAUACUGACGCUGAGGCGCGAAAGCUAGGGGAGCGAACGGG
rnacentral:rRNA from 1 species